rnacentral:rRNA from 1 species
GUACACUCCUGCGGGAGGCAGCAGUGGGGAAUUUUGGACAAUGGGCGAAAGCCUGAUCCAGCCAUGCCGCGUGCAGGAUGAAGGCCUUCGGGUUGUAAACUGCUUUUGUACGGAACGAAACGGCCUUUUCUAAUAAAGAGGGCUAAUGACGGUACCGUAAGAAUAAGCACCGGCUAACUACGUGCCAGCAGCCGCGGUAAUACGUAGGGUGCAAGCGUUAAUCGGAAUUACUGGGCGUAAAGCGUGCGAAGGCGGUUAUGUAAGACAGUUGUGAAAUCCCCGGGCUCAACCUGGGAACUGCAUCUGUGACUGCAUAGCUGGAGUACGGUAGAGGGGGAUGGAAUUCCGCGUGUAGCAGUGAAAUGCGUAGAUAUGCGGAGGAACACCGAUGGCGAAGGCAAUCCCCUGGACCUGUACUGACGCUCAUGCACGAAAGCGUGGGGAGCAAACAGGAUUAGAAACCCUAGUAGUCC